AUGGCGUACUCCUCCUGUUUGAAUCGGAGUUUGAAACCAAACAAACUUCUCCACAGGAGGAUAGAUGGGGCGAUUCAGGUGAGAUCCCAUGUAGAUCUAACUUUCUAUUCACUCGUGGGAUCCGGGCGGUCCGGAGGGGGCACCAUGGUUCCUCUCUUCUCGAGAAUCCAUACAUCCCUUACCAGUGUAUGGAGAGCUAUCUCUGGAGCACAGGUUGAGGUUCGUCCUCAAUGGGAAAAUGGAGCACCUAACAACACAUCUUCACAGACCAAGAACUACGAGAUCACCCCUUUCAUUCUAGGGUGAGGGAGGCCUGGGUCAACGCCACGACGACGUGGGCGCGAGCCGGCGAGGAGUCGGCAUGGCCAGAGAUGCCGGCAGGGACGGUGCCAGCGGCGACGGUCUUCGUGCCGUCAUCGGAGGGGGAGCGCGGCCAAGGCGGCCGCGCGGGCGCGAUGGACCUCGACCGGGAGGACAUGGUGGUUGGGGACGACUCCCCGCCGCGGACCGACGAGGUCGAGCGGGCGGGGGCCGAGGGAGGCGGCGGUGACGCCGUCUUGGAGGAGACACCACGGAUGGCGCCGGAGGGAGCGCCUCGGGCGCCGAUGA
rnacentral:rRNA from 1 species